GUUGCGAAAAAAAGAAGCAAAUAUAUAAAAUUCUUGAAAACUAAAACAAACAAUUACCCACGAAAACUAGAACACAUUUCAUUUUACCGCUAUCUCCACAUUUUUUUUUUCAUUUUACCGCCAUGUUCUAAAAUCUCUCCACAAAUUCGGCAGUUACUUCUAGCCAAUUCCCACAAUCUUAAACUCGAAUUCCUCUCCUGCAAAUAAUUAAGAUAAAGAAAAACGAAAAAGAAGCCCUAAGCCCCCCUCCUCCUCAUUUUUUCUCAUCGGCGGUGGCUUAAUUCAAAUUACAUCUUUUUCUACUUCAUCUAAAUCCUCUGUCCCUGCAACUGGUUUCUUCUCAAUUUCUGCGCUCUUCCGCCGCCGCCUCCAGAUUUGUGCUGCUUUUGAGAGUAGAAUUAGUUCGAUUUUCUCUCAAACUCGUCGAUUCAGUAACGAGACACUGCUUGCUAAGUUCGCCAGAGGUGAUCGAGUACUGGUGGAUUUGUAUGUUUCGGAUUUCUAAUUAAAUUUCGUGAUUUCUCAAGUAUUUCUCUGAUAUUUUGUUUCCCUUGAGUCGUUUGCGAUUUUUUUUAAUUUGAUUUUAGUAGUAUUAUUGUUAUUUGUUUGAUUAAUGUUUUCUAUUGUGGUGGAUUUUAGUCGUAGAAAGGGGCUUAUGUUCUGCUGCGCUUUCUCACCAUGGAGUCAAUUAUCUCUUUCUCCCCUUCUAUCUUUCACUUAGGAUUCAAGCUCAAGUUAUAAUACUUGCAUUAUAUGUAUAUGCAGUGGAACUAGCCUACAAUAUCAAUUGGAGCAGCAAUUGGGGGAAGACGACACGCUGAGCACUGGUUUGGAACUUCUUCUACUUUGCAUUCUCACACAUUAAUUUCAAGUAAAAUGCCAUCUCUCAAAUAAGAUUUAAUUUAUGUAAUUAGAUUGAAUCCUCGUUGACAGAUCUUGUUUUGUUUUGUUGUUUUGUUGUUUUGUUUUAUUUGUUUAGCUAGCAAACUUGCCCAAUGGACGCAUCAAAAUGGUUUGAUGGAUUUUUAAGAAGCAUGGUAUCAAGUCUUUAUUCGACUCAUCCCCUCCUCUGAAGUCUUUAAUUUAUUCAUCCCCUAUAUGCAAGAAUUUUGGCUCUAAUGCAUCAUAUUUCCUAAAAGUUGGUGGCCACUUUGUCAUAUCUAACAAGGUUUGUAUCUCUGAUUUUCUUUUAACGUCUUAUAGCUUGAUAGUAAGAAUCACUAAACCUUUACCAUUGUUUCCAAUUGUUGUUGAUUGAUAAGGUAUAUCUGUUAAUCUCGAUGACAUUUAUUCUAUUGUGCUAGUAAUCCCUGCAACAUAUUUACUUGUUCAGUGCCUUUUUAGCUCUCUUUUUGGUGUGGCUCAUUUUAGUUUUGGUCGAUUUGUAGCUAAUGAUCAUAGGGAAUUGUUAUCUUGCACAUGUUAGUUUAUUUCAUUUUCUGUUUGCUCUGUUGAUUAGUGAGAAUUUUGAAUCGACAUUUGAAAGAAUUAGUAUUAUUUUUAAUCACAACUAAUUUAUUUAGUCAUGGAGAAUGAAUAUAUGAUGGAUCUCUUUCUGUCAAGAGUNAAUG
rnacentral:lncRNA from 1 species